GUGCAAGCUUUUUCUUUUCAAUAUGCCUGAGGAAGUGCACCAUGGAGAGAAGGAAGUGGAGACUUUUGCCUUUCAGGCAGAAAUUGCCCAACUCAUGUCUCUCAUCAUCAAUACCUUCUAUUCCAACAAGGAGAUUUUCCUUCAGGAGUUGAUCUCUAAUGCUUCUGAUGCCUUGGACAAGAUUCACUAUGAGAACCUGACAGACCCUUUCAAGUUGGACAGUGGGAAAGAGCUGAAAAUUGACAUCAUCCCCAACACUCAGGAACAUACCCUGACUUUGGUAGACACAGGCAUUGGCAUGACCAAAGCUGAUCUCACAAAUAAUUUGGGAACCAUUGCCAAGUCUCGUACCAAAGCAUUCAUGGAGGCUCUUUAGGCUGGUGCAGACAUCUCCAUGAUUGGGCAAUUUGGUGUUGACUUUUAUUCUGCUUACCUGGUAGCAGAGAAAGUGGUUGUGAUCACAAAGCCCAAUGAUGAUGGUAUGCCUGGGAGUCUUCUGCAGGAGGUUCCUUUACUGUGCAUGCUGACCAUGGUGAACCCAUUGGCAGGGGUACCAAAGUGACCCUCCACCUUAAAGAAGAUCAGACAGAGUACUUAGAAGAGAGGCAGGUCAAAGAAGUAGUGAAGAAGCACUCUCAGUUGCUAGGCUGGGAUACAUCACCCUUUAUCUGGAGAAGGAACGAGAGAAAGAAAUUAGUGAUGAUAAGGCAGAGGAAGAGAAAGGUGAGAAAGAAGAGGAAAAUAAAGAUGAUGAAGAAAAGCCCAAGAUCAAAGAUGUGGGUUCAGAUGAGGAGGAUGACAGUGGUAAGGGUAAGAAGAAAACUAAGAAGAUCAAAGAGAAAUACAUUGAUCAAGAAGAACUAAACAAGACCAAGCCUGUUUAGACCAGAAACCCUGAAGACAUCACCCAAGAGGAGUAUGGAGAAUUCUACAAGAGCCUCACCAAUGACUGAGAAUACCAGUUGGCAGUCAGGCACUUUUCUGUAGAAGGUCAGUUGGAAUUCAGGGCAUUGUUAUUCAUUCCUCAUCGGGCUCCCUUUGAUCUUUUUGAGAACAAGAAGAAAAAGAACAACAUCAAACUCUAUGUCCAUCGUGUGUUUAUCAGGGACAGCUGUGAUGAGUUGAUACCAGAGUGUCUCAACUUUAUCCAUGGUGUGGUUGACUCUGAGAAUUUGCCCCUGAACAUCUCCCAAGAAAUGCUCCAGCAGAACAAAAUCUUGAAAGUCAUUCACAGAAACAUUGUUAAGAAGUGCCUUGAGCUCUUUGCUGAGCUGGUGGAAGACAAGGACAAUUACAAGAAAUUCUAUGAGAAAUUCUCUAAAAAUCUCAAGCUUAGGAUCCACAAGGAUUCCACUAACCUAUGCCGCCUGUCUGAGCUGCUGUGCUAUCACAGCUCCUGGUCUGGAGAUGAGAUGACUUCUUUGUCAAGUAUGUUUCUCACAUGAAAAAAUACAGAAGUCCAUCUAUUACAUCACUGGUGAGAGCAAAGAGCAGGUUGCCAACUCAGCUUUUGUGGAGGGAGUGUGGAAGCAGGGCUUCGAGGUGGUAUAUAUGACUGAGCCCAUUGAUGGCUAUGUGUGCAGCAACUCAAGGAGUUUGAUGGGAAGAGCCUGGACUUAGUUACCAAGGAGGGUCUGGAACUACCUGAGGAUGAAGAGAAGAAGAGAAUGGAAGAGAGGAAGGCAAAGUUUGAGAACCUCUGCAAGCUCAUGAAAGAAAUCUUAGAUAAGAAGGUUGAGAAGGUGACAAUCUCCAGUAGGCUUGUGUCUUCACCCUGCUGCAUUGUGACCAGCACCUACAGCUGGACAGCCAAUAUGGAGCAGAUCAUGAAAGCCCAGGCACUUCGGGUCAACUCCACCAUGAGCUAUAUGAUGGCCAAAAAGCACCUGGAGAUCAACCCUGACCACCCCAUUGUGGAGACGCUGCAGCAAAAGGCUGAGGCAGACAAGAAUGACAAGGCAGUCAAGGACCUGGUGGUGUUGCCGUUAGAAACUGCCUUGCUCUCUUCUGGCUUUUCCCUUGAGGAUCCCCAGACCCACUCCAACCGCAUCUACUGCAUGAUCAAGCUAGGUCUAGGUAUCAAUGAAGAUUAAGUGGCAGCAGAGGAACACAGUGCUGUGGUUCCUGAUGAGAUUGCCCCUCUUGAGGGUGACAAGGAUGUGUCUCGCAUGGAAGAAGUAGAUUAG